UACGAACCGUACAAACGUUAUUCGGAAUUACUGGGCUUAAAGGGUGCGUAGGCGGCCAAGUAAGUGAGGUGUGAAAUCCCUCGGCUCAACCGAGGAACUGCGCUUCAUACUGCUUGGCUUGAGGGAGACAGGGGUAAGCGGAACUGAUGGUGGAGCGGUGAAAUGCGUUGAUAUCAUCAGGAACACCGGUGGCGAAGGCGGCAUCCUGGACCAACACUGACGCUGAGGCGCGAAAGCUAGGGGAGCAAACGGG
rnacentral:rRNA from 1 species